rnacentral:tRNA from 1 species
GGCAGCGUAGUCUAGCGGAUAGGGCACCAGACUAGAGAUCAGGAAAUGUAGGUUCUACUUCCAGCUCUGCCA